AAGUCGUAACAAGGUUUCCGUAGGUGAACCUGCGGAAGGAUCAUUACCAAUAUAGCGAACCGAGCGUUAGUGCGGCUUCGCGAUCAAAUUGUAUUUAAAACCCAACUCUUUAAAUGUAUAUUAUUAUUAUAUUUUAAAUAAUAAAAAGAUCACUUUCAACAACGGAUCUCUUGGCUCUC
rnacentral:misc_RNA from 1 species